rnacentral:rRNA from 1 species
AGAGUUUGAUCCUGGCUCAGAUUGAACGCUGGCGGCAUGCCUUACACAUGCAAGUCGAACGGCAGCACGGGGGCAAUCCUGGUGGCGAGUGGCGAACGGGUGAGUAAUACAUCGGAACGUGUCCUGUAGUGGGGGAUAGCCCGGCGAAAGCCGGAUUAAUACCGCAUACGCUCUACGGAGGAAAGGGGGGGAUCUUAGGACCUCCCGCUACAGGGGCGGCCGAUGGCAGAUUAGCUAGUUGGUGGGGUAAAGGCCUACCAAGGCGACGAUCUGUAGCUGGUCUGAGAGGACGACCAGCCACACUGGGACUGAGACACGGCCCAGACUCCUACGGGAGGCAGCAUUGGGGAAUUUUGGACAAUGGGGGAAACCCUGAUCCAGCAAUGCCGCGUGUGUGAAGAAGGCCUUCGGGUUGUAAAGCACUUUUGUCCGGAAAGAAAACCUCUGGGUUAAUACCCCGGGGGGGUGACGGUACCGGAAGAAUAAGC